CCAUGCGCAAUAAAUGCUGAAGCAGUGGCAGGGUAUGGUCCUCAGUUGGACCUCGGAGGAGUACGGCCGUAGUAGGUGGCUGACAAGGGUAGACCUUGAGCAUCAAGAUUUUCCUAGGUCGGAUGUCUUGAGGUCGGGCGUUCCGAGGUCGGACGCCAACUUCGGCUGUUCAGGGUCGGCGAUUGUGCGGCUUCUUGGGGGCAUUCGUGUCACUUGAGGGGAAAAAUCUUAUUCCCCCAACACUACCCCCCGACUUCCGAGUUCGAGCGGCUUGCGGGCUCGGACGUGGGAAGUAAAGUCUGUCAUUAGAGUUGGGGGGCGAAUCUCGU
rnacentral:lncRNA from 1 species